rnacentral:lncRNA from 1 species
AAUGAACAUCUCUCUUCCUGUAGUUAUUCUAAUUAUCCUGUUUCCAAAUAUUUCCAUCACCUAGCCAUCUGAUUAACAACUGGCUAAUUUCUGCCUAAUUCAACUUAUACUAAAAUAAAUUAUGAUAAUACAUAAUAUCAACGAACCUGCUCCCUUAUACUAAUUUCACUGAUCUUCUUGUUUCAACAAAUUUACUAGGGCUCUUACCUCACUCAUUCACACCAACUACUCAACUGUCAAUAAACUUAGGUAUGGCUAUUCCACUAUGAGCAGGAGCAGUAAUUACUGGCUUGCACCACAAAACAAAAGCAUCCCUAGCCCAUUUUCUACCACAGAAAACACCUAUUUUACUUAUUGCCGUACUACUAAUUAUAGAAACCACCAGCCUCUUCAUUCAACCAAUAGCCUUAGCUGUGUGACUAACAGCCAGUAUUACAGCUGGCCCUCUGCUUGUUCAUUUAAUUGGAGGCGCCACACAGUAUUAACAUCAAUCAACCUACCCACAGCCUCAGUCAGAUUUACAUCUUGAUUAUAUUAACCAUUUUUGAAUUCGUCAUAGCUUUAAUCCAAGCAUAUGUUUUUACACUACUAGUGAGCCUCUAUCUACAAGACAAUACUUAA